UACGGGGGGAGCAAGCGUUGUUCGGAUUUACUGGGCGUAAAGGGCGCGUAGGCGGCGCAACAAGUCACUUGUGAAAUCUCCGGGCUUAACCCGGAGCGGCCAAGUGAUACUGUCGUGCUAGAGUGCGGAAGGGGCUACUGGAAUUCUCGGUGUAGCGGUGAAAUGCGUAGAUAUCGAGAGGAACACCUGUGGCGAAGGCGGGUAGCUGGGCCGACACUGACGCUGAGGCGCGAAAGUGUGGGGAGCGAACAGG
rnacentral:rRNA from 1 species